GAAAAAUCAAUUAAAAUUUUAUUUUAUUUUAUUUCUUUUUCUUUUUCUUUUUUUUUUUUAAAGAAAAGACACUCUCUUUCACUCUCUCUCCCACCCCUCACGGACUGCGCGAUCCCCCCUUGUGAAAACCCUCGCCGUCGCCCCCUCGUGUCGAUCGCCCUCGUACGCCGUCCCGCCUCCCCGAGGUCAUCCGCGUCGGAUCUAAAGAGUCGACCACGCCUCCAACAGCCGUCCGACGCCGCCCAACCCUGUUUGGUUGAGGUCGAGCUACUCGUCCAAGAUCUCCAUUGCUAUUCGCCGCCGAUCUCGACCAAUCGACCAGGCUCGUCCGUCCAAGCGCCGCCCUGCUCGUUCAACCACCGUCGUUCACCGUUCGUUUGUCCCUCGGUUGUGUCUCUGUUAUUGGUUGAGUGUUUGGUAAGGGUUUCACAAUUUGGAUGGAUUUCGUGGGUUAAAUUGUUGUUUUUUUUUACUUGGUUUCAGUUUGUUCGUUACCUGCCGCAGUUGGGGUUAGAUUGGUGUUUUGAGAAAAUUCUAGGUGUUGUCCAACUUCGUGGAAGAAAAAAUUUCGGCCAGUGUUGGUAAGUUUUUAGGGUAAGUCCGAUUGAGUUUUGUGGUUCUUAUUUGCCCAUUAAAUUUUAGAUUUCCUUUUUGGUAGAUACCUAUUAUAUUUGGAAUUUAGAUCUAAGAUUGGAGUAGUUUGGAGUGCGCAACGUAUUGUUCAACGGGUUCGAGUUCGUUUCCAACAAGAAAUUUGAUAACAUUUGUGGUUCUUGAGGUUGAUCUCCAGACACCCACUAAUGAUUGGAUUAAGUAAUGACUUGACUAUUGUAUUUCGAAGGUUUAAGGUCGCUAUCCAUCAGAAUUAGAGGUUAUUUUUCUUUGUGGAAUUUGGUGGAGAUUUUGGAGCAAAAUCUUAGAAGUGACCUUGAUCAAGUCACACUUUAGGUUUAAUUUGAGUUUCAUUAUCGAGUAGUUGCUUGGAAGGAAAUAUUUGGACUUUUGAUUUGAGAUAAGAGUAGAGAUGCACCGACGACUAGCAAGAGGAAUCCUUGAUCAAGCCAUCGGGGACUAGUUUACAUGUUUCCACUCAUAUUUUAAUGUUUCUAUUAUGUUUACAUUUUCAGUUUUGAAAUUCAAGACUGCCGUUUAAGUUUUGUUUUCAGACUUAUUUUUUUCUUUCACGGUCCAGUCUUAUAUAAACUCUUUGUAUAAAAUACCCCUACUCGUAUAUCUCACAUCAAUGAUCAGGAUCAAAUCUUUUGUAGCACUUUACAACAAUUGAAACAUUUACAAAGUGGGUGAUAUUUGUAGUGUCACUGGGAUAAGAUACCCAACCUUAUCCAU